rnacentral:tmRNA from 1 species
UGAAGCCUGCUCGGUGAGAGCAAACCCGUAACUGCGAACAACAUCGUUCGUUUCUCCCGUCAAGCAGCCCCUGUUGCUGCCUGACCCUUUAAGGGAGAUGGGGUGAAGUCAGCCUUAUCACCCAAAUGACUCAUGGGCCCUGGAAGGGGCC